AGCACCUAGCAUUGCAGCUGGAACUGAUGUGUCAAGUGUAUGUCAGUAGCCGGCGGAGAGGAGAGAGGCUAUGUCUAUGCGCAGUGCUCUGACCAAUGAAUAUAGGAAUGAUUAGUAGCCUAACACU